rnacentral:rRNA from 1 species
AGCAGCCGCGGUAAUUCCAGCUCCAAUAGCGUAUAUUAAAGUUGUUGCAGUUAAAAAGCUCGUAGUUGAAUUUCGGGGUUCAUACGUUGGUCGGGCUUUUUGGUCUGUACUGGCGUAAUGGAUUCCUACCUUCUGAAUAACCGGCAUGCCAUUAAUUUGGUGCGCCGGGGAAGCGGGACUGUUACCUUGAAAAAAUUAGAGUGCUUAAAGCAGGCUAUCGCCUGAAUACAUUAGCAUGGAAUAAUGAAAUAGGACGGCAUGGUUCUAUUUUGUUGGUUUCUAGGAUCACCGUAAUGAUUAAUAGGGAUAGUUGGGGGCAUUAGUAUUGCAAUUGUCAGAGGUGAAAUUCUUGGAUUUAUUGAAGACUAACUUCUGCGAAAGCAUUUGCCAAGGAUGUUUUCAUUAAUCAAG